rnacentral:rRNA from 1 species
UACGUAGGGGGCAAGCGUUGUCCGGAAUCAUUGGGCGUAAAGAGCGUGUAGGCGGCCAGAUAAGUCCGCUGUGAAAACUCGAGGCUCAACUUCGAGCUGUCGGUGGAAACUAUUUGGCUAGAGUCCGGAAGAGGAGAGUGGAAUUCCUGGUGUAGCGGUGAAAUGCGCAGAUAUCAGGAAGAACACCCGUGGCUAAGGCGGCUCUCUAGUACGGUACUGACGCUGAGACGCGAAAGCGUGGGGAGCGAACAGG